GCAUAUCAAUAAGCGGAGGAAAAGAAAACAACAGGGAUUGCCCCAGUAACGGCGAGUGAAGCGGCAACAGCUCAAAUUUGAAAUCUGGCCCUAGGCCCGAGUUGUAAUUUGCAGAGGAUGCUUUUGGCGCGGUGCCUUCCGAGUUCCCUGGAACGGGACGCCAUAGAGGGUGAGAGCCCCGUACGGUUGGACACCAAGCCUUUGUAAAGCUCCUUCGACGAGUCGAGUAGUUUGGGAAUGCUGCUCAAAAUGGGAGGUAUAUUUCUUCUAAAGCUAAAUAUUGGCCAGAGACCGAUAGCGCACAAGUAGAGUGAUCGAAAGAUGAAAAGCACUUUGAAAAGAGGGUUAAACAGCACGUGAAAUUGUUAAAAGGGAAGCGCUUGUGACCAGACUUGCGCCCGGUGAAUCACCCAGCUCUCGCGGCUGGGGCACUUUGCCGGCACAGGCCAGCAUCAGCUUGCCGUCGGGGACAAAAGCUUCAGGAACGUAGCUCUCUUCGGGGAGUGUUAUAGCCUGUUGCAUAAUACCCUUCGGCGGGCUGAGGUACGCGCUCCGCAAGGAUGCUGGCGUAAUGGUCAUCAGCGACCCGUCUUGAAACACGGACCAAGGAGUCAACCUUAUGUGCGAGUGUUUGGGUGUUAAACCCCUACGCGUAAUGAAAGUGAACGCAGGUGAGAGCUUCGGCGCAUCAUCGACCGAUCCUGAUGUUCUCGGAUGGAUUUGAGUAAGAGCAUAUAGGGUUGGACCCGAAAGAAGGUGAACUAUGCGUGUAUAGGGUGAAGCCAGAGGAAACUCUGGUGGAGGCUCGCAGCGGUUCUGACGUGCAAAUCGAUCGUCAAAUAUGCGCAUGGGGGCGAAAGACUAAUCGAACCUUCUAGUAGCUGGUUUCCGCCGAAGUU
rnacentral:rRNA from 1 species